rnacentral:lncRNA from 1 species
ACCAGGAACGUAAGUUUAUAAUAGAUAUAGAAGUGACAAUACACAACAGGUUUUUCAAAAUUUACAAUGAACAACAUGAUUUGGCUUCUUGCUCUAAAAUAGAAACAAUCUGCAACACUAACUUGGUGACAAUCCCACCAAUUCAACAACGAUGUGGACAUGAUGUGGACAUAUCGCCAAUUCAACAACUCUACCCUUCACUCCUUUGUGGCUUCUAGAAUCAAAGGAGAACUACCAUCAUUGGAGGAAAGGGAAAAAAAUUAACAACAGUUCUUGCGGUUAAAGCAUCUGUCGAGUGAAGGUAUGCCGCUAUGAAUCCUUCUUUUAGUAACCAUCUGUACACAACAGCAGUAAUGCCAAGGCAAAAAACUUGAUCUCUGUUCAUGGCCAUCUCAUUAUUGAAAAAGUAAAUGUAAAACUGGCCUGCAAGAUAAAUGUACAUUCAGUUACUGGGAAUACCACUGGAUGAAAUAUAGUGCACACUCCAGAUCUUAUAACUUUUAAUACAUUUUCAACUAAGAUUUUAAGCCAUGAGAUUAUAUGCCAAUAGUUACAUUUAAGCUUGUUAAAGCAUAAAGCAAUCAUAAAAAGGCAGUAAGAAUAAGCUUCAGGACACAGUGAGGGCUGAAAAUACUUAUUUGAAAACAAUGAAACAACUCAUUAAAUUUAACUAAGUUUGAGAGUUCCAGUUUUAAGAAUUAAUACUGUACAACUAAGAGCAGGCUACAAAAUAGUCAGUCAAGAAGAUUCAACUGUAUACACUUGAUAAUUAGAGACAAUGUUUUUAACCAAAAUUUUUUGACCAACACUUGAACCACCCCGUUGACGUGAAAUAUAUAAUAUGGUCAGUCAAGCAUAUUAAAAUUAAUAUAUUAGAACUAAUAAAAGUGCAUUGAAAAGGCAACCAUAAAGCAAGAACAACCGAUGUCAAGAGCACUGACGAUCACAGUAAUGAGAAAAGGUAACACAUGGCAAGAACAAUGGACUGACCAGACCUUCUGAAAUCCCUGGAACUACACGAUAUCAGAUCCCUGACAACACACAUAAUACCUAAAAAGUAGCUGAUGCGAGAAUAAGUCCAAAAAUAGUUAUUUGUUUUCUAAACCCAAAGACAGUUGGGGAGACCUAGAGACAGAUAGUUUACGGGUCGGUGAAAGAGGCUGGUGACAAAAUUGAGACACCAUAAUACCUACGGAUAUGACAGACAUGAGAACCUACAUUAGCUUGGAAAAGGGGACUACAUAUCAUUGGACCCACCUCUGAAUAGAGAACCUACAUUUCAUAUCCAAUAACUGAAAUUUGUGCGAUACAUCCAUAAAGGAAUAUUAGAAGGACGGGCAGAAAUUGGUGGCUCGACAUAUUGUUUAAGCAAAUAAAUAGUCACUACUUUCUUGUGCGCAAUGGAGCACGUACAGAUUCAACAACUAAGCUUUAGUAAUGACCGCAUGGUUGAUGUGGGAGAAACAACAUAACUAUUGUAACACUGAGCUGUGAGCCUUGCAUGAUGUGCAGGUAGGCUAGCUUGAUGGUGGAAAAUCAGUGGCGAUAUGUCCACAUUGGUAUUGAAGAGCAUGACAGAUAUAGUCACUUUCAAAAGGAGACCACACGUGUUUGGAUUCAGCUUUGAAUAGGAGAGUUUAUUUGACACACCUCUCCUCAAUCAAAUGGUUCAGGUCUAAAAAUAUAUAAUGGUGAGCACAAGAGCAGAGUAGUCAUGGUUGAGCCUGUUUUGACUUUCUUUUCUUAUUCCACUUUGGAAAGGACAAAAGUGAACAAAAGCAGGCCUAAAACAUAUACUCCCUCCGUCCCAAAAUAAGUGUCUCAACCUUAGUACAACUUUACACUAAAGUUAGUACAAAGUUGAGACACUUAUUUUGGGACGGAGGGAGUACCAUUUAAUGCCUUCACAACAGUUUUUGCAUGGCCAGUUAACUCUGAAAGAAGUCUGUGAUAUUACACUUAAUAUGUAAAAGAGGCUCAAACACUAAAUUAAAUUCAAAAUAAAAGUAAUGCUCAUGCAGCAUAUUUUGUAUUUACAACAUCAGACAGUACCAUCAAACGCUAUAUAUUAGCUAGCUAAGUAGGAAUCUCUCAUUGGAUUGUGCCUCUAAAUAAUACCAUGGAGGCAGGAAACUAAGUAUUUUCAGUCAGGAAAACAAAGAUGCCUGCUUCCGCAACAUGAAUCGCAGAAUUUUCAUAUAAUUGUACUCACAAAGCUAUUUAAACAUAAAAGGAAACAGUAAUACCUUGUAUAUUUGUACAACCUAUCAAGAACAGAGUUGUGAAUUAAUCUCUUUGUAUUGAUGCCCUCAUCACCAAGCCCACUAUCACUGAUGCCUUCUCUUCCGGCACCAUAAGUAGUGUGGUCAUUGUAGAAAUAUGACCAGUUAUAUUCUACUUGUGUCUAUCUCUAUCUUGCGAUUCCACUGCUCACUGCCGUGGUUGCACUGCUCAUGUCGGGUUAGAGUUAUGGUGCCCUGCGAAACACGAGCAAAGUUUGAAUAAUCCAGUGGUUAUAUUCUACUUAAACUGGGACCAUUAUGCGUGAUAUUUUGAAUGAAUUGCUAUGAGAGAGAGCUGAACAAUUAUAUAGCAAAUUGGGUGUCGUAUUCAAUUGUAUCCAUGGAAAAUAUAUUACAAUCUCUAAACUACAGCAGUGUACAAUGAAGCGACAACCAACGAAGGAAGCAGAAGCGGGCGCUGACAGAGAUGACAAACCCAAGUCUGGGAACGAUGACAGUCGGAUAGAUAUCUCAUCUCUACUUCUGCUCAUCUCCCUUUAUUAAGACGCGACAACAUAUGUAUAUAUAUGAUGUGCACCCAACUCUGUCUUUAGCAUUGCCCGCUGCUGAACCUGCACAUGAAAAAACUGACAAAUGUUCUUAUUCUUGUUCUGCCUUAUGCAACAGGUCCGACGAACCUACAGCUUAGUAUGUAAGUUAAGAAAAAAAUAUGGGGAAUGAUGGGGAAAAAGGUUGCUGCUAACCUAGAAGGGACGCCGUGGCACCACCAACAAGAGAGGCUAUUUGUACAGCAACACAACUCGGUGUAGGAAUCAACAGCAGUCACCCAAACACUAAUCAUAUGGAACCUUAGAAUGCCUUACCACGGCGCCAUUCUGGCCAAUAGCAGCACCUAUUAUGAUGCCUUACCACCAUGCCGUUCAGGUCAACGCAUCACCUAAAAUAAGAAUGAAUGAAUGAUAACGCAUGAGAUAUCACGACAUUGUAAAUAAAGAUUCAGCUGGAUGAUAACGCAUGAGAUAUCACGGCCACGGCGGAACACAAAGAUUCAGCUGGAUACAAAAAUCUAAAAAAUGUAUCAGAAAGGAUUACAAUAGAACUCGUGGUUGAUCAGACAAAACUGGUACAUAUAGCUCCUAACUCAACUAAUCCGAAGUUCAAAAUAAUUCAUCUUUGCUUCUCAAACAGAGAUAAAGAUUGUAAUUACUACUGCCUGAAGCAUGUGAUCAGUAAGCAAUCUCGACUUCAACUUGAAGUUAGUCACUUGAAGAUAUAAACAACAGAUGUCAUAAAACACACAACAAUGUGUCAAUGAUUUUGCGGUUAUUUUUGGAACAAAAGGACAGUGCAUCUUAGGCAUUCCAUUUCCCAAAAAAACCAAAUUAACACUAGUGUCCUAAAAAUAUUAGGUAGUUAGAAUGGAACAUCAGGAACCAUGCUAUGCUCUACCAUGCAAGGAGGCUGAAAUGUGAAUAGGAGUAAGCAAGUGACGGAUUCAGUAAAAUUUUGACCAUUAGUAACUUCUACAGAAUGCAUCAUAUUUUGUAUGUAAUGUCGAAGUAUCCACAUCAAGAUCACAUGACAGGAAGUGGGAAUUGAAGUGGCCAACUGACCAAGCCCAGGUGAAAGAAAAUCUUGAAUCUGUACAUUCAUGCCUGAGACAAAGAACUGAUCAUUAGCACUGUAAUUCACACAAAGGUAGCUAUUUUAGUUUUCCUUAUAUAAAUCCAAGAAAUACCACUAAUAUAAUUUAUCAAACUGCGAAUAUCCACAAAUUGAGUUCCAUUGCCCUUCAGUGUUUAGCAGUUGCUUUUUAACAGGAUUGUAGAUAGCCUCAGCAAAUUGCAUAUCACUUCACUUACUUUCUAAGUGUCAAUGCAGAACUUUGUGUGACGCAACCCCUAACUUUUCCGACAUGCAACGCUCCCCAGGAACAUGGGAGGUCAAUGGGUUCGUGUGUGUUGAAAUAGACCUGGUCCCAGAGUACACGAUAUGGGAUAUUCUACCACAAAAUAUAAACCAAUACAAAAUCCAACUCAAAUGAAUGCUACACUGAAGAAAAUUUGAUACAGAGCCUGACUCAGAUGAACUCAAAACUGAAAACGAUUUGCCAGAUUCCACGCAUUGUCAAAAGUCUUCGACUACAGAAAAUACGUUUAUGCUGAGUAAAAAGCAUUGAAAGUUCAACCUUCUGUGUGACUCGACCCAUUAAACGAAUGCAAAUAUUUCUAGUGGCAUGGAAAUUUUGGUGUGUGUAUACCUAAUAGAAGGUCAGUGCUGCAGUGACUUGAGUAAUAACGAACUAAAAGGACGAGUCAAUUUUUAUAACCGAAAUACAGAUGUGCAAACAGGCAAACAGGUUGAUUGUAGCACUCGAAAUUUAAAUUCCAUUGAACCAUGCGAGAGUGGCGUGGGGAAUGACAGUCAGUUUAUCGAGAUCGAACGUGGAGGAGACUUCCAGCAAUCGUGGCUGCGCCGUCGCUGCUGCGCCUAGGGCAGUUCGGGAGGGGGGAGAUUGCCGUCAACGCUAUGGUUAACACGCAUCCAUGCCGGCGCUAUCAAGCUGCACCCUGCGAUCUCGCGUGCAACACGUAAUGAGAUCGUGUGGUUAGUAUCUCCGUUCGCUGUUGUAUACUGUAUGAUGUUGAUUUGCACAUUAUAAAAUUCCUUGAUUUAGAUGAAACAAGCAAAUCUGCAUGCUAUUUGUUUUUCUUUGAAUUACUACAGCCAUACUCGAAGAAGAGUCAGUUAUAGAACCUGAGCACUCACCCAAUCUCAGAUGCUGCUCAACACCCUCUGCUCCAACCCAUAGAACAUUCAGUCCUGCAGCAAAUGAACUGAAGAACCAAUCCCUGUCGCCAGCCUGCUCCCCAUCCUGCGCAGCUCCACCACAUAGCGACGGGAGCGCUGCUUCCUGCUCCAACCCAUACAAUGGCCGGUGACGCUAAUUGUGCUAAGGGCGAGAGGCGAUAAAUGAAGAUUUGGAGAGGAGGAAACUGAGAGAAUAGAGAUGGGGAAAGGGAACUCACCGUCUCAAGCUCGAGCUCGCCGACUGGCAGUCCUCUGCCUCGACCACCUCCAUCGGGUCUCUCUAUUUUUUGACCUUCCCCGUCUCGGCCUCGGGAUCGAGCUUCGACCUACCACCGCCAGAUCCGACCCCAUCAACUUCUGGUUCCUUGCCUCCCCAUGAAGUGUGCGCCGCCUGGAGCCUACCCCGUCGCUGCUCCUUCCCCGUGGAAACCCGUGGAGCCUACCCCGUCGCUGUUUAGAUAGAUG